rnacentral:rRNA from 1 species
GACGAACGCUGGCGGCGUGCUUAACACAUGCAAGUCGAACGGAAAGGCCCUGCUUUUGUGGGGUGCUCGAGUGGCGAACGGGUGAGUAACACGUGAGUAACCUGCCCUUGACUUUGGGAUAACUUCAGGAAACUGGGGCUAAUACCGGAUAGGAGCUCCUGCUGCAUGGUGGGGGUUGGAAAGUUUCGGCGGUUGGGGAUGGACUCGCGGCUUAUCAGCUUGUUGGUGGGGUAGUGGCUUACCAAGGCUUUGACGGGUAGCCGGCCUGGGAGCGUGACCGGCCACAUUGGGACUGCGAUACGGCCCAGACUCCUACGGGAGGCAGCAGUGGGGAAUAUUGCACAAUGGGCGGAAGCCUGAUGCAGCAACGCCGCGUGCGGGAUGACGGCCUUCGGGUUGUAAACCGCUUUCGCCUGUGACGAAGCGUGAGUGACGGUAAUGGGUAAAGAAGCACCGGCUAACUACGUG